UGAUUGAACGCUGGCGGCAGCCUAACACAUGCAAGUCGAGCGGUAGCACAGAGAGCUUGCUCUCGGGUGACGAGCGGCGGACGGGUGAGUAAUGUCUGGGAAACUGCCUGAUGGAGGGGGAUAACUACUGGAAACGGUAGCUAAUACCGCAUAAUGUCGCAAGACCAAAGUGGGGGACCUUCGGGCCUCAUGCCAUCAGAUGUGCCCAGAUGGGAUUAGCUAGUAGGUGGGGUAACGGCUCACCUAGGCGACGAUCCCUAGCUGGUCUGAGAGGAUGACCAGCCACACUGGAACUGAGACACGGUCCAGACUCCUACGGGAGGCAGCAGUGGGGAAUAUUGCACAAUGGGCGCAAGCCUGAUGCAGCCAUGCCGCGUGUGUGAAGAAGGCCUUCGGGUUGUAAAGCACUUUCAGCGGGGAGGAAGGCGGUAAGGUUAAUAACCUUGGCGAUUGACGUUACCCGCAGAAGAAGCACCGGCUAACUCCGUGCCAGCAGCCGCGGUAAUACGGAGGGUGCAAGCGUUAAUCGGAAUUACUGGGCGUAAAGCGCACGCAGGCGGUCUGUCAAGUCGGAUGUGAAAUCCCCGGGCUCAACCUGGGAACUGCAUUCGAAACUGGCAGGCUAGAGUCUUGUAGAGGGGGGUAGAAUUCCAGGUGUAGCGGUGAAAUGCGUAGAGAUCUGGAGGAAUACCGGUGGCGAAGGCGGCCCCCUGGACAAAGACUGACGCUCAGGUGCGAAAGCGUGGGGAGCAAACAGGAUUAGAUACCCUGGUAGUCCACGCCGUAAACGAUGUCGAUUUGGAGGUUGUGCCCUUGAGGCGUGGCUUCCGGAGCUAACGCGUUAAAUCGACCGCCUGGGGAGUACGGCCGCAAGGUUAAAACUCAAAUGAAUUGACGGGGGCCCGCACAAGCGGUGGAGCAUGUGGUUUAAUUCGAUGCAACGCGAAGAACCUUACCUGGUCUUGACAUCCACAGAACUUUCCAGAGAUGGAUUGGUGCCUUCGGGAACUGUGAGACAGGUGCUGCAUGGCUGUCGUCAGCUCGUGUUGUGAAAUGUUGGGUUAAGUCCCGCAACGAGCGCAACCCUUAUCCUUUGUUGCCAGCGGUCCGGCCGGGAACUCAAAGGAGACUGCCAGUGAUAAACUGGAGGAAGGUGGGGAUGACGUCAAGUCAUCAUGGCCCUUACGACCAGGGCUACACACGUGCUACAAUGGCAUAUACAAAGAGAAGCGACCUCGCGAGAGCAAGCGGACCUCAUAAAGUAUGUCGUAGUCCGGAUUGGAGUCUGCAACUCGACUCCAUGAAGUCGGAAUCGCUAGUAAUCGUAGAUCAGAAUGCUACGGUGAAUACGUUCCCGGGCCUUGUACACACCGCCCGUCACACCAUGGGAGUGGGUUGCAAAAGAAGUAGGUAGCUUAACCUUCGGGAGGGCGCUUACCACUUUGUGAUUCAUGACUGGGGUGAC
rnacentral:rRNA from 1 species